GCACAGAUGCCCGAGUGGUCUAAGGGGGAUGACUCAAGAUCUUCUAGGCCUAUGCCUGCGGGGGUUCGAAUCCCCCUCUGUGUA